rnacentral:rRNA from 1 species
UACGGAGGGUGCAAGCGUUAUCCGGAUUCACUGGGUUUAAAGGGUGCGUAGGCGGGUCUGUAAGUCCGUGGUGAAAUCUCCGAGCUUAACUCGGAAACUGCCAUGGAUACUAUAGGUCUUGAAUGUUGUGGAGGUAAGCGGAAUAUGUCAUGUAGCGGUGAAAUGCUUAGAUAUGACAUAGAACACCUAUUGCGAAGGCAGCUUGCUACACAAAUAUUGACGCUGAGGCACGAAAGCGUGGGGAUCAAACAGG